rnacentral:rRNA from 1 species
AUCAACUUUCGAUGGUAGGAUAGAGGCCUACCAUGGUGGUAACGGGUAACGGGGUGUUAGGGCACGACACCGGAGAGGGAGCCUGAGAAACGGCUACCACAUCCAAGGAUGGCAGCAGGCGCGCAAAUUACCCAAUCCCGACACGGGGAGGUAGUGACAAUAAAUAACAAUACGGGGUUCUUUCGGAUCUCGUAAUUGGAAUGAGUACAAUUUAAAUCUCUUAACGAGGAACAAUUGGAGGGCAAGUCUGGUGCCAGCAGCCGCGGUAAUUCCAGCUCCAAUAGCGUAUAUUAAAGUUGUUGCAGUUAAAAAGCUCGUAGUUGAAUUUCGGGAUCAGUAGGUUGGUCAUGCCUAUGGUAUGUACUGGCUUUACUGGUUCCUCCUUCUUGAUGAUCUGUAAUGUCAUUAAUUUGGUGUUGCAGGGAGUCAGGACUGUUACUUUGAAAAAAUUAGAGUGUUUAAAGCAGGCAUACGCUUGAAUACAUUAGCAUGGAAUAAUGAAAUAGGACGUUCGAUCCUAUUUUGUUGGUUUCUAGGAUUGACGUAAUGAUUAAUAGGGAUAGUUGGGGGCAUUAGUAUUCAAUUGUCAGAGGUGAAAUUCUUGGAUUUAUUGAAGACUAACUACUGCGAAAGCAUUUGCCAAGGAUGUUUUCAUUAAUCAAGAACGAAAGUUAGGGGAUCGAAGACGAUCAGAUACCGUCGUAGUCUUAACCAUAAACUAUGCCGACUAGGGAUCGGAUGAUGUUAUUUUUAAUGACUCAUUCGGCGCCUUACGGGAAACCAAAGUGUUUGGGUU